rnacentral:rRNA from 1 species
AUUGAACGCUGGCGGCAGGCCUAACACAUGCAAGUCGAGCGAGCGGCGGACGGGUGAGUAAUGUCUGGGAAACUGCCUGAUGGAGGGGGCUAACUACUGGAAACGGUCGUUAAUACCGCAUCCCAUCAGAUGUGCCCAGAUGGGAUUAGCUAGUAGGGGGGGUAACGGCCCACCUAGGCGACGAUCCCUAGCUGGUCUGAGAGGAUGACCAGCCAAAAUGGAACUGAGACACGGUCCAGACUCCGACGGGAGGCAGCAGUGGGGAAUAUUGCAAAAUGGGCGAAAGCCUGAGGCAGCCAUGCCGCGUGUGUGAAGAAGGCCUUCGGGUGGUAAAGCACUUUAAGCGGGGAGGCGUUACCAGCAGAAGAAGCACCGGCGAACUCCGUGCCAGCAGCCGCGGUAAUAC